UACGAAGGGGGCUAGCGUUGCUCGGAAUUACUGGGCGUAAAGCGCACGUAGGCGGAUUGUUAAGUCGGGGGUGAAAUCCUGGAGCUCAACUCCAGAACUGCCUUCGAUACUGGCGAUCUCGAGUUCGGGAGAGGUGAGUGGAACUGCGAGUGUAGAGGUGAAAUGCUUAGAUAUGACACAGAACACCGAUUGCGAAGGCAGCUCACUAAGUUGUAACUGACACUGAGGCACGAAAGCGUGGGGAGCAAACAGG
rnacentral:rRNA from 1 species